rnacentral:rRNA from 1 species
UACAGAGGAUGCAAGCGUUAUCCGGAAUGAUUGGGCGUAAAGCGUCUGUAGGUGGCUUUUAAGUCCGCCGUCAAAUCCCAGGGCUCAACUCUGGACAGGCGGUGGAACUACCAAGCUGGAGUACGGUAGGGCAGAGGGAAUUUCCGGUGGAGCGGUGGAAAUGCGUAGAGAUCGGAAAGAACACCAACGGCGAAAGCACUCUGCUGGGCCGACACUGACACUGAGAGACGAAAGCUAGGGGAGCGAAUGGG